rnacentral:rRNA from 1 species
GACGAACGCUGGCGGCGUGCCUAAUACAUGCAAGUCGAACGCUGAGGAGAGGAGCUUGCUCUUCUUGGAUGAGUUGCGAACGGGUGAGUAACGCGUAGGUAACCUGCCUAUUAGCGGGGGAUAACUAUUGGAAACGAUAGCUAAUACCGCAUAACAAAGGAUGACACAUGUCAUUUAUGUGAAAGGGGCAAUUGCUCCACUACAAGAUGGACUUGCCUUGUAUUAGCUAGUAGGGGAGGUAACGGCUCACCUAGGCGACGAUACAUAGCCGACCUGAGAGGGGGAGCGGCCACCCUGGGAAGGAGACACGGCCCAGAACACCAAGGGAGGCAGCAGGAGGGAAUCUUCGGCAAUGGGGGCAACCCUGAACGAGCAACGCCGCGGGAGGGAAGAAGGGUUUCGGAUCGUAAAGCUCUGUUGUAAGUCAAGAACGAGUGUGAGAGUGGAAAGUUCACACUGUGACGGUAGCUUACCAGAAAGGGACGGCUAACUACGUG